rnacentral:tRNA from 1 species
GCCGGAGUGGUGGAAUUGGCAGACACGCACGGUUCAGGGCCGUGUGCCCGCGAGGGCGUAAGGGUUCAAGUCCCUUCUCCGGCA